UUUAAACUUUACGUAAGCAACUAGUUUUCCUUUAAAUGUAUGUUGAAUUCUCUUAGAGCCUAUUUAUACUAAAAGUUAUUUGCUUGAAGUUCAAGUUUAACUGGGAGGCCUGUGUUUUCCUGACAACCUUAAAAUACACUGGUGUGGAACAUUCCUUUUAGAGUUAAAUAGCUCUCUUCAUUGUGCUGUUUUGGUAUGUAGGGAAGCAGAACAAAGGCACAGGAGAUUUCUAGACAUUGUAGAAAGAUGAAUGGAUUAUAUAUUUAUUCUCAUAAUAGUUCCCCUAAUAGUAAAAUUUUGGGGGAAAUUUUAUUUUUAUAUAAUUUCAUAUUUACAGAAAAGUUUCAAAAACAGUUUAAAAAAAAACAAAAACAAAAAAACAAGUAAACAAACCACCAAACCACCAAACCUGCUUUACUCAGAUUCAUGGAUUGUUCACAUAUGUUUUAACCACUCACCCCACCUCACAGAGGUGACCGAACCCAGGACUUCAGUCAUGCUGGGCUAGCCCUGCAUCCAUGAGCUGUGUGCCCUCAGGCCUUGCUUAAGCUCCUACGUAGACGUAGAUGUCCUGUUUUUAUUUAAGGAUUUGAAAACCAGUCAUGGGCACCAUGAUUUAACACAAAAUACUUCAGUGUGAUGGUCUAAUUUCCUGAAAAUAAUUGUUUGUUCUUCUUUCAAGGAAAAACCAAACCUUAUGAAUCCGAGCCGAACUAUUAUAAGCCUUAAAAUAAGGAGCCGCCCGCCCCACAUCCCAGUCACCCAGUGUUUGAGUUUGGUUGCCCUUUCUCACCUGUGUAAUCACAGGGUAUACAAUUCAUGUUUCUUAUGCAUGAAAUUAAUUUUCUUUCCCUCUGUGGAGUGGGGCUAUAUUUUAGACAGGUUUUUAUUCGUGGAAGCUCUUCACUGAGAGCAAUAUUUGAAGUGGCUUAAGAAUUUACGUCACAGCAUUUAUAAAUGAUAUACCUCAAAGUUAUGCUCCUUUGAUGUCAUAUAAUGUCUUGAGCAGUUAGGACAGGUUGAGACGUGACAUAAGAAAAAGCAGGAUAUGUAUGUAAUGGAUAGGAAUGUCACUUUACACUGUUGUGUAUUUUCUCUGUCCCUAAGACUUGGUGUAGUGCCAAGCAUACAGUUGGUAUCUAAUUUUUGUUGAUGGAAAGUGUAUGGAUUUAGUAUACCUUAAGUGAAUGGUGUAGCUUGUGUAACAAUGUACCCUAUCUCCCCUUCCCUCUCACUUUUUCUUUCAAAUCGCAUAAUAAACCCACAGAUUAGAUCAGUUUUCUUGGGGACUUAAAAGUACUAAAUGAUCACCGCACAGAAGCCAGCCCUUUGAAACCCUCACUGCUUUCACUUGCGUUCUCCCACUUGACUGUCCCUGUGUCCUCUGUCUCUCCAAGUAAGGUCUAAACUCCUACGUCUUUCGUUAACAAGCAGUUUAAUUUUUAAGAAAUCUUAACUUUUCCUGUGCUUGACACAAUUGACAAUCCCUUUCUUCAAGCCCCACCACUCUGCGUCCUUGUAUCUGGCUUGCUCCUGGGUCUCUUCCUUCUGGUCUCUUCAUGUAACCGAAAUAUUAAUUCCCCAGACUUUUCUUUCUUGCUCUAAGUCACUGGACCAUACUCUUGUGUAAUUUCCAUGCAGUCAUCUUAUCUUAGCUUCUGUUUUCCUGCUGCGCUCACUUGGCUACCUGUUGCCACGUCUUCAAGGACUCACUUCGUUUGCGCUCCUCACUUGGUUAGUUUCAGAACAUUACACUGUUCAAGGUUCUCCAGUUCGCUCUUCUGUCUUCUGCCUGACUAUCGGUGUCUACGUUCUGCUGCUUCUACUCCAACAUUUCUAUCACUGUCUUUCAAUUUUUAUUACAGUUACUCAAAGGAUUUCCUGUGUUUAUUUUCCCAUCUCUGUUGGCCCAGAUUACCAAAUUGGGCUUUCUAGAAGCAUUCAGCCUCAUCCCUGCUACAGGCAGUUUUAGGAGCUUUUUGGUGAGAGACUCUGCUUGGUAUCUAAGACCCUCCUCUUGUGUUUGCCACUCUGCUCUGAUAAGAGUGUUAAAGAGUUUUCCAGAAGUCCAGAGUUGUAGCCCUCCAGACCUUCGUAGACACCAUAUUUGCAUGGAGAGCCCUAGGCUUCUUCUGGGAAACUCCAUGCGUUCUUGAGACUCUGUGACAUUAAUUACCCUGGCCCUUCCUUUGGUCACCAUUAUAGUUGCAACCUACCUCUAUUGAAUCACUUAUUGUACUGUAUAUUUAAUUUUUUAAAGUGUCCUUUACAAGAAUGUGAGCUCCUCAGGGGCAGGCAAAGAAACUUCAUUCAUUUGGCAUCUCUAUAGCAUAAUGUUUGGUAUAUGAGCAUUUAAUAAAUGUUGAAUAAAUUGCUUCACAUGACAGCUGUUCCUCAUGGCGGGCGUCUUCACUGCCUUUGUUGCAGACUGGGGGAAGGGGGGCAAUAAAGAUGAGAAUAAUUGAAAAAUC
rnacentral:lncRNA from 1 species